AAAUGUCUGCUUGCUGAUAAGAAAUUAGUUACUCUCUCCUCCCCCAGGAUACCCUGGGAGCUGGAAAACUGAUCAUUAUGCUGACUUUCACCACUGGGGGAAGGAAAAAAGACUGGCAGGCAUUUCCAUAAGCUGUGAGGGUAUUACUGGUAAAGCACUCAAAAACUGAAGGAUGUUUUUGAAGAGUAAAUGAUAAAAGGCUGAGAAGAAGCUAACAAAGAGAGACACUUGACAGGCAAUUUGUUUGGAUAGUGACAGACUCUUCUGAAUACCUUCUUGUUGAGUGGCCAACCUCCACACACCUCAAUCACUUUUGCUGCUUGACUUGAUUUUAAAAGGAAGAAAAAAUCUAUAUACUGAACAUACAGCUCCAUCCAGUAGAAAUUAAUACAAGCAAAUACACAUCAGUAACUUACAGGUAGGAUUGUCAGGAAUAGGCUGCAAUUGUCUAUAAAACCCCAAAAGCACAACAGUGACGAGGAAAUUGGGAGUCUAAAAGAACUGCAGUUAUGCAUACAGACAUGCUGUGUGGAAAUAAAGAGCUAAGGCACCUCAACUGAUCUAAUUUUGUCCUUUCUGAGGCCACAAAGAUAUAAGUACACCUCAACUGCUCCAGAAAGGACAAGCUCAAAAGUCAUCCAUUUGGGUUCCAACAGCUUAGGAAAAAAAGCAAUAGUGAACCUCAUCUAGGAUACAACUGGUGCUAGAUUGCUAGUAAAGUCAGGACAGCUAUCCAGUCCAAAAAAAAGGAUGGAUCCAGCCCUUAUAAGAACUACUGCAGCAACAAGAAGAACCUGAAAUAACUCCUGAAUAAUGAAAACAUGGGAAAACCCAAACUUGCCAUACACCAUCAGCUCAAUCUAGCAGGCUGCCUGCCCUAGAGCCUCAAUUUGUGCCACCAAAAACAUGCACAGAUGCUCCUGAUGUGCAGUGAUCUAAAGGAAUCUUUUUGGCAACUCUUCCUUGAAGAAGCCUUCCAGAAAUAACAUGAAACUACUGAAUGAGUUAGUUUCAUCGAUGACAGCUCCAAUCAGAACAUCACCACCACCAGGAAAGAGACUGGACUUCACGCUGAGGGAAUCUGUCCAUGGGCUACUGAACUGAGUGCUUUAAGAAGAGAACCACUGCACCAUAGAAGAAAACUGUUCCUGGUCCAUUCCUGGUCUUUCCAGCCUGAUUUUCAAUGUAAACAUAGAAAGCACAUUCCAAACAGGAGCCCAAGGAGCAAGAAUUCAUAAUAUUGGUUGUCUCCUAUACAGUCCAAGAGGAUUUGCCUACCAAACUAGCAGGCAAGAGAGCAAGAGGGCAUCUCUCCUCUGUUGCAAACUCUUAGGCAAGGAGAAAUGUUUUUCCCUACCUGGAGUCCCCAUCUUGAUCUUCUGUGGUGUCACCAGAGCUAUUGACAGCAUAUCGACUCCUUGGUUUAUCUGCAAAAAUAGGAACAAAGCAAGCUUUUUCAAGGGACAUUCUCCUUAAAUUGUUCAUUCAAACAAGUGCACUGAGAGAAUUCUAUAACAGAGAUCUAAAAAAAAGGACUAGUAAAAGCAGAAAGACCUUUCCUUUUCAGGUUGAAGUAGUAGAACUUGUUUUUACUAUUCUCAGUCAAAACCACAUCAAAA